AGUGUUAAAUUAGUGCCAUUUAUUAUGUUCAUUGAAUUAUUAGAAACAAGAACAAUUUAGUAUUGAAAUAUCUUCCAGUGAAAUACAGAUACCAAAACCUCUCACUUUAAUUUGGGAAUUUACUAUUAAUUUGUUGACUCUGAUUUAAAUUGAUUUACAGUAAGAUUAAUAUUAUAUCGACCCUGACAUCUUAUAUUCCUAAAAAAC